AUACGGAGGGUGCAAGCGUUACUCGGAAUCACUGGGCGUAAAGCGCGCGCAGGCGGCUAUUUAAGUUGGAUGUGAAAGCCUAUGGCUCAACCAUAGAACUGCAUCCAAAACUAUUUAGCUAGAGUGUGGGAGAGGAAGAUGGAAUUAGUUGUGUAGGGGUAAAAUCCGUAGAGAUAACUAGGAAUACCAAAAGCGAAGGCAAUCCUCUGGAACACUACUGACGCUGAGGCGCGAAAGCGUGGGGAGCAAACAGGAUUAGAAACCCUUGUAGUCC
rnacentral:rRNA from 1 species